ACACCCCACACCCCAAUGCAGUGGCAGUACUAAAGUAGAGAGCCCUGGGCAAUAAUUUUUUGCGCCCCCCUAUUGCAAGGGUGGCUAAAAGGUAAAUGCUUUGACAGCUGGGGCUCUACAUUGUCUCAUGCUUGCAGGGCUGUAUUAUGCACUGAGCAGUGUCUGUGUGUUUGAAUGUAAUGUGUGUGUGUGGGGGGGGGGGAGGGGG